CCUGCGAUGCAGGAGACCCAGGUUUGAUCCCUGGGUGGGGAAGAUCCCCUAGGGAAGGGAAUGGCAAUCCGCUCCAGUAUUCUUGCCUGGAGGAUCUCUUGGACAGAGUCUGGUAGGCUACAGUCCAUGGGGUCAUACUGAGUGUCUAACAAUGUCGCUUUCAACUUCACUUACCGUGCCAGGUGAGGAGUAUAUAAUCUCCCAAAACUACCGUGAAUCCAGAAUACCCAUCUGGUUGAAGAAAUCCACCCCACCAACAGCUCUUGUGUUCAGCUUUCUGAGCGUGUCUGUCCCCUUUGCUACAGAGUCUCACAGUAAUGCUCCUGAACGUGAAUGGGCUUCAGCGAGUCUCUCUUUGUACCCAAUGAGCCAACCCCAAGCAGUGCUGGCCUCCAAGCUCUGGAAGAGAAAUCCCAGUAUGUCAUCUCAUGACACAUGUGCCCUUGAUUUGUGGUCACUUCACAAACCUUCACAGAAGAGUGAAUUCUCCUUGUCCCUGCCUGCCCCCGUGAUCUUGGCAAGCCUGCUUCUCUCAAGGAAGGCAUAGGAUUUUUAGGAUUCUGAGGGGUCUGGAAAAAAAGGAAGUGAAGUGAAAGUCGCUCGGUGUGUCUGACUCUUUGCAACCCUAUGUACUAUACCAUCCUUGGAAUUCUCCAGGCCAGAAUACCAGAGUGGGUAGCCUUUCCCUUCUCC
rnacentral:lncRNA from 1 species